CACCCCACUGCCCCGGCCAUGCACGUGCGCGCACACACACACACACACACCCCUGCCCCGGCCCCAUGGUCCGGGCCCCUGGGCCACCUCAAGGUGAGGAGCUGCCAAUCAUGUCCAGGGGACAUGGAGUUUCUGACUUCCCCGCAUCCACCCCCUUCACCGGCCCUUUAACAAGUCUUUACCUGCUUGCUUGUGCCCAUCUACAGGCCUCUGGCAGUUUCCAUAUGUGGCUCAGGGUCUCAGCUGGAGCCUUGGGACUCAGCACCCCCUUGCGUGGUUUAAUUCAUCAUGUGCAUGUCGUUGGUUCUGUUUCGGACACAGUGGGCCAGCAUGGACCUUGGGCUGGCAGCAAAUAUGUUUCCAUCUUCUCAGCCUCAGGCAGCGUGGCUCUGGAUGUGAGGAAGGACUGACCUCGGGACCCUCCAGGACCCAUGUACCCAGCCCACGAGGCCAGACCCCUGCCCUAACCCCUUCCCUUGCCCCAGAAGUGUAAGCGUAAAGCCAGUCAGGCAGGAGGGCACAUGGCUUCCUUUUUAUGCAUGAAAAGUCAAUUGGUACUUGAUAGAGCUAAAAUAUGAUUUCUUUUUGUAAUCUCCCACCAUAACCCCAUAAUUUGAGCCAAAUAGGAUUACUUUACUUCACCUAAUAUCCCCACUGGAAGAUUAAUGCCAUGCAUAAUUCCAGUCUCCGUCAUUUCCUAUUUCUUUUUAGUGGAAGAGAAAAGAGGUCAAAGGGGUAGGACCUUUGUCCAUAAGGGGAGGGGGCAGGGAUCAGAGGCCAGAUUGUUCUCUCAUUCUCCAAUUCAUAAGUAACUGACUUUCCCCCUGAAAUUCAGAGUCUGAUCUCCGAGGUGUAAGUUGCAUUGUAAACUCAGUAGCUUGCCGGAAAAAAAUUUUGGGGGGCUGUGAGUUCAUAGAUUAAAUAAUGAAAACAGGAUCUUCUCAGUUCAGACUGCCCUUUGUCACCAGGUCCCACCUGUCCUUCCACUUUUAGCUGAGACCUGAGAGUGACAGUAAGUAGAGAAGCACGCGGGGUCGGGGCGAGGUCCCCAAGGCUUGGCUGUGUGAAGGUGGCUGGGGGAGAGUCUUGCCUGGCCUGGAGCAGCGCCAGCCUGGGCGUCCCAUGAGCUGCUCCUGCCCUCUUCUGGCCAAGUAGUGGCUUAGCAGCGUGGGAGGGCAUUUCCCCGCCAAGGAGGGCGCCCCGUGUGCCUCAGCCAUCACCUUUGAACAGGCCAAAGCCCAUGGAGAGAGAUUUUUCUGGUGGACUUUUUUCAGAUGUCUUUGCCUGAGAAUCAAAAAUUGCUGCUGUCUACCUUUAGCAUUCCUAAUAAUUCUAUUGUUGGGGGAAUAAAUGCCUAGAAGAUUAAAAAUAUCCAGCAUAACUAUAACUUCACACAUGUUUUCUUUUAGGUCUAGGCCAUGGGACAGGAGAAGUAUAGCACAGAGAGAAGGUAAUACUUUAGGAGGAGGUGAAGGCUGUAAGGUCAGUGCGUGCCUUUGGGGAAGCUGGUUGGCUAGCCAGUGAACUCUGAAGACACGCCGUCUUGGGGAGCUGGGGCGUCCUGUAGCGCUAAGGCCCCACCCCAAGGCUCCCCCAGCAGCCCCUCCACAGCAGGCCCUACGAUUUUGGACUUGGAAUUCAUCACGUGUUCUGCAGCCCUGUGGUUGUAGGACUGCUGGGACUAACCAUGCUCAGAGGCUUGGAGUGUGAGGCCUCACAGGAAAAGAAGCUGGCUUUUCCUAGGGUCCCCAGAGACCAAGUUCGGGCUGAGCUGGAACAGAGCCAGGCAGGUGGUGGCUCAGUUCCAUCAUCUGGUGCUCACUCAGCCCAGGGGCAGACCCUGUCCCCCUGGCCAGCUGCCUCUUUUCACACACUGGGAAUGCUUGCUGGGCCCCGGCUGACAUGAGGCCAGGGGCCCAGAAUGUUGGCAGCCCCUGAGUGCCCCAAGUCAGCCUAGGGAGGCCCUGAUUUGCCUGCAGAUUCCUCUGUGUGCAGUGGAGUGUGGAAAGGCUGGUGAGUGGGGAGCCUUCUCCUUCAAGCCCUCACCUAAGGUGGCCUUCCGGGGUCUCAGGUCCACACUCCCAUGGGGGUCCACACACGUGGCAAAGUCCCCAGCGGGGAGGCCACAGCCAGAAUCCCUCUUCUGCUUCAGUGGGGAGAGUGAGGGUGGGGCCUGGUGGUGACCGGCUUCUCCUCAGCCAAGUCCGGGCCAUCGAAGGUCCGGCAAGGUGUAGGCGUGGCUUCGGGUGGCCUUAGAACUGACCCCUGAUUCUAAUGGGAGGAGGAAUCUCUCAACAGCAAUGAUUGACUGUCAGUUAGGACUUCAAAUGCCAAAAAAAGAGGAAAGAUCCUUUGCUCCUUCCUCAUUCCCUCCAGAAUGCAGGCAUGUGAUUCUCCUGCUGGGUGGUGGGUAGGAAAUUAUCUGAAACGUUCCUGGUAGAGCAGCCAGAAUCAUUAAGAAGUUGUUCUACCAGGAACCCGGUCUCCAAAGCCCCAGGCAAUAUGUUUUAAAUGAAAACACCACAGUCAGAGUGACGGCUUCGGAUAAUCAGCCACACUCCCUUCCACUUAGUCUCCUGUCAUUUCUCACACAAAUGGAGUUAGAUGUUCAGGGACUUCCACCAUCAUUGCCCAUGUUACAAAAGAAGACUUUCUAAUUUCCCCCACCCCGUUUCACCCUUUCUCACCCCAGCCGACACAGUCCCUAAUCCCAGAGGGAAAAAAAAUUUGUGGCUUUUCCUACCCAGGAGCUGGUCUUUUCCCAGCUGCUCUGCGUUGAGCAUCCUGGCUUCAGGGCGAGAGAGCUGAGUCCUUGGAGUGCAGCUGCGGGCCCCGUGGCCAUGGGAUCCAUGGGGAUUGUGCAGUUCGGUGGUCAAGAGAAAGGUCACCUGUCAGUGCUAUGGGCCCCUGUCCAAGGAGCUGGUCAGCCACACAGAAGAGCCACUUCUCCAGGCCCCAGCGCUGCUCUGAGGAGCUGCGGAGGCCCAUGGGCCGGGGAAGGCUCCUCGCUCGCUCGGCUGACUCAGGGUUCGUGGCUACCAAAGGCUUUAGCAUUUUCUCCAGUACAGCUCCUGCAAAGCUUGAUUUAUUCUCAAGAUUAAUCAGAAUCUUGUAUUCUUUUGAGUAAUUUUCUUUUUAAAAAUGAAGGAUUUUUUUUAAGUACAGCUUUUUGAUAUAAGGACUGUUGGGAAGGUCAGGCUUGUUCUUUUGUCCUCCCCCAAGUAAGAUGUGAGAGGCAGCCGUUAGUCCUGGUUCCUGAGAAAUAUGCGGCUCUUCUUGGUGGGGCUGUGGGUUGCAGAGGCGAAGGUGGGUCGGAGGUGGAGGGACCUGCGGCUGCUCUGCUGGAGCCUCUACCUCGUCUCACUGGACUCUUCAAAGAACUCAGAAAUGGAUGAAAAACAGUAAUGUCACUGGAUUCUUAUUUAGAAAUAAAAAUGAACGCUGCUGAAUCAGA